UACACUCCUACGGGAGGCAGCAGUGGGGAAUUUUGGACAAUGGGCGCAAGCCUGAUCCAGCCAUGCCGCGUGCGGGAAGAAGGCCUUCGGGUUGUAAACCGCUUUUGUCAGGGAAGAAAAGGUUCUGGCUAAUACCUGGGACUCAUGACGGUACCUGAAGAAUAAGCACCGGCUAACUACGUGCCAGCAGCCGCGGUAAUACGUAGGGUGCAAGCGUUAAUCGGAAUUACUGGGCGUAAAGCGUGCGCAGGCGGUUAUGCAAGACAGAGGUGAAAUCCCCGGGCUCAACCUGGGAACUGCCUUUGUGACUGCAUGGCUAGAGUACGGUAGAGGGGGAUGGAAUUCCGCGUGUAGCAGUGAAAUGCGUAGAUAUGCGGAGGAACACCGAUGGCGAAGGCAAUCCCCUGGACCUGUACUGACGCUCAUGCACGAAAGCGUGGGGAGCAAACAGGAUUAGAAACCCCUGUAGUCC
rnacentral:rRNA from 1 species